AUUGAACGCUGGCGGCAUGCUUUACACAUGCAAGUCGAACGGUAACAGGCCGCAAGGUGCUGACGAGUGGCGAACGGGUGAGUAAUGCAUCGGAACGUGCCCAGUCGUGGGGGAUAACUACUCGAAAGAGUAGCUAAUACCGCAUACGAUCUAUGGAUGAAAGCGGGGGACCGUAAGGCCUCGCGCGAUUGGAGCGGCCGAUGUCAGAUUAGGUAGUUGGUGGGGUAAAGGCUCACCAAGCCAACGAUCUGUAGCUGGUCUGAGAGGACGACCAGCCACACUGGGACUGAGACACGGCCCAGACACCUAUGGGAGGCAGCAGUGGGGAAUUUUGGACAAUGGGCGCAAGCCUGAUCCAGCAAUGCCGCGUGCAGGAAGAAGGCCUUCGGGUUGUAAACUGCUUUUGUACGGAAAGAAACGGCUCUGGUUAAUACCCGGGGCUAAUGACGGUACCGUAAGAAUAAGCACCGGCUAACUACGUG
rnacentral:rRNA from 1 species